UACGUAGGGGGCAAGCGUUGUCCGGAUUUAUUGGGCGUAAAGAGCUCGUAGGCGGUUCCGUAAGUCGUGAAGUCAAAUCUCUGGGCUCAACCCAGAAUCGCUUCCGAUACUGCGGUGACUGGAGUCCGGUAGGGGAGUGUGGAAUUCCUGGUGUAGCGGUGAAAUGCGCAGAUAUCAGGAGGAACACCAACAGCGAAGGCAGCACUCUGGGCCGGUACUGACGCUGAGGUGCGAAAGCGUGGGGAGCGAACAGG
rnacentral:rRNA from 1 species